rnacentral:rRNA from 1 species
AUUGAACGCUGGCGGCAUGCCUUACACAUGCAAGUCGAACGGCAGCACGGGUGCUUGCACCUGGUGGCGAGUGGCGAACGGGUGAGUAUACAUCGGAACGUACCUUAUCGUGGGGGAUAACGCAGCGAAAGUUGCGCUAAUACCGCAUACGCCCUGAGGGGGAAAGCGGGGGACCGUAAGGCCUCGCGCGAUUAGAGCGGCCGAUGUCUGAUUAGCUUGUUGGUGAGGUAAAAGCUCACCAAGGCGAUGAUCAGUAGCUGGUCUGAGAGGACGAUCAGCCACACUGGGACUGAGACACGGCCCAGACUCCUACGAGAGGCAGCAGUGGGGAAUUUUGGACAAUGGGGGCAACCCUGAUCCAGCAAUGCCGCGUGAGUGAAGAAGGCCUUCGGGUUGUAAAGCUCUUUUGUCAGGGAAGAAACAGCAGCUCUAACACAGUCUGCGAAUGAUGGUACCUGAAGAAUAAGCACCGGCUAACUACGUGCCAGCCGCCGCCGUAA